UCUCAUUUCCCCUCUCUCCUUAAUAGUGAGUUGAACAAAUAUCAGUAGCCUGCAAUUCACCAAAGUCUAGAGUAUACUUGCCAGACUUUCAUACAUUCAUAGAUUGUAAGGCCGGAAGAGACCGUGGAAGAUUAUCGGAUCCAGCCCACCGCACCAAGCAGGAAAGAUAACUGGGCGCCAGGUGACCUCAGCAAGGUGACUGUCUAGUCUCCUCUUGAAGAUUUCCAGGGUAUACUGUUGGCAAAGACCUGGCACAAUCAUCAGCUGUGUGUGCUGGAGACAGAACUAAGGAGGCAUGAGAGGGUCCCAGACUGCUUGGAUUGAAAGCAGAGAACUACAUUUACAUUUCAAAGUAGAACCUGUAAGGGAUGACAGACUAGAAUACCUGAGAAGAGACAAAGCCACUGAAUGCAUGAAAGUCCUGAGAGACAUCAAAAGCAUGCUAUAGGCAAAGCAGCCAAGAGGAAAAAGGAAGUGCAGAUUCACUUAUAAAAACCCAAGCAGAGAUGAGGCCUGCAAGAUCUCCACUUCAAUGCCUAUGACCUGCAGAUUUCCCCAGAAGGACUUCCUGAAUACCUGGCUGUAAGGAGACAUUCUGCCUUUGCCUUGGGAUUAGGUAUGACUUAUGCAAGGCUUUGUUGUCUUGUUGGUUUAUUAUACUGCAUUUUAAGUUAGACUAAGUUGUGUCUGCUGUCACUGUGUCUUAUACUCUGCCUAAACUUUCUGUUGUUCUUUGUAAUGUGCUUUGAAGCAGCAAAUUGCUGUGUUCAAUAAAUGCUCUCUUCAGGGAAUGGAC